UACGUGAGGGGCGAACGUUGUUCGGUGUCACUGGGCUUAAAGGGUGCGUAGGUGGUUGCGUAAGUAAGGUGUGAAAUCCCUCGGCUUACCCGGGGAAUUGCAUCUUAUACUGCGUGGCUUGAGGACUAAAGGGGAAAAGGGAACUCCAGGUGUAGCGGUGAAAUGCGCAGAUAUCUGGGGGAAGGCCGGCGGCGAAGGCGCUUUUCUGGUUAGUACCUGACACUGAGGCACGAAAGCGUGGGGAGCAAACAGG
rnacentral:rRNA from 1 species